rnacentral:lncRNA from 1 species
UACAUGAAUAUGACUGAAAUUAAUCCAACAACUACCGAGGAUACAGCUCUGUAUUUGAAGACCCAUUGACUGAUUCUUGAGCUGAACUAUGACCCCAUGAUUUCAUAUCUUGAAGGUUUCUGCUAUCCAUAUGAAAUGCAGGUUCCAAAGGCAUUGGGAGAGUAACUGAAUCACUAUUUAGCAUCACUACUACAGUAGCCAUGCUUGGCCUGCUAGCUACAUUCUCUUGAACACAAAGUAAUCCAAUAUGUAUACAUCUCAACAUUUCAUUUCGUGAAUCAUUGUUUAACGUGGGAUCUAUGAUACUUGUUGCAGUUCCCUCCUUCCAAUUCCUCCAUGCCUGCACAAAUUUGUCCAAACGCAAAUAAAAUACUAGGUUAGAUAUAAUACACUUCUACAUGAAAUAUAUGAUGACGAUGACAUAAAAAGUAUGACUUACAAAGCUCGAUAGAUACUCAGUAUUCUCCUCAUCGCGAAUGCCACUGUUUUUUGAACCACUUACGAUUUCAAGAACCAAUAUACCGAAACUGAAUACAUCCGACUUCACUGAAAAUUGUCCGUGCAUAGCAUAUUCAGGUGCCAUAUAUCCACUACAAAACAAUUUGGACAAGUAGCCUCAAUAAAGAAAGUUUUGUUCACAAUCUUGUAUAUAUAUGUUCAAUUAUCUAUCAAUUUGCAUUUGCUAAGCUUUUUGAUAUAAUAUCAAUAACAUCAUAUACUUUUUUUUUGAAUACUUACUAGGUUCCCACAAUUCUUUUUGUGUUUUCCUGUGUUUGGUCCACACCAAAUAGUCUUGCCAUGCCAAAAUCAGAUAUCUUAGGAUUCAUUUCUUCAUCUAAGAGAAUGUUACUUGCUUUGAGAUCACGAUGAAUAAUGCGCAGUCGAGAAUCCUCGUGAAGGUAAAGAAUGCCUCGAGCAAUACCUAAAAUGAUUUUGUAGCGCAUUUCCCAAUUUAAUUGCGCUUUCUUAACUCGAUCUGCAUAUAACAUACCAAUUAAUUUUGAAUAUUGUACAAUAAUUUACGAGCUUAGUAUUUAACCGAACUAAAGUAGUAUAGAUAUUAUACACUUCAAUAGAUAUUAAAACUUACCAAAAAUGAAAUAAUCGAGACUUUUGUUUUGAACAAAUUCAUAUACAAGUACUCUUUCUCUUCCUUCUAGUGAGAAACCGAGUAGUCUAACUAAAUUUCGGUGUUGAAGCUUAGCCACCAAAAGUACCUCAUUCUUAAACUCCGAAUCUCCUUGUCCCGAACUCAUUGACAACCUUUUAACAGCAAUCUCUUGUCCAUUGGAUAGCCUACCCUGAAAAUAUAUAUUAUUUAGGAGUGAUAAGUUUUUCAAAACAAGUAUUAGAGUAUAUCAUAUUUUAAUUAAUGAAGUGAUGUUUAAUAGUGUUAUUUUACUUUGUAAACAACUCCGAAUCCGCCUUCUCCAAGUUGAUUAGAAUGCGAGAAGUCAUUUGUAGCAUUACGUAUGGUGUUGAAGUUGAGUUGUAGUGGCUCAGGACUUUCAAUUUUAUCUUCUUCAUCAUCUUCUUCUUCUUGAAUUUCUACCAUGAAUAGGUAAACAAAUUGUUAUAUGUGAUAUGAAAUACUUAAGUCACGGUAUAUCAAUGUUUCAGCUUAAUCACCUUCAAACGUUUUCUUUGGCUUCCUUAUUCUUAAAUAGAUGCAGAUAAAAAUGAAGACCAUAGCAACAAGAGCAAUUGGAACUCCUACAGCGAUGCCAAUGGUAGCACCAUUGUUGCUUUUUCCUGCACAAACCAAAUCUCUCCUUGUGUGAUAUUUCAUAUGUACCAAGAUAAUAAAAUACUAUUAACAAUUUCAAUAAGGUUGUUUAAUUAUGGAGUAAUGACAAGUUGACGACUAAAAUGUUGUCCAACACCGUAUAUUUAUACAGAUUAGGUGUCAUUUGGAUUUUUAUUGCUUUUUUCUCUCUUCUCUAGUCAUAUCAUUACUGAUAAAUUAUAUAUUUUUAUACGAUUUUCAAAUUUGUUGUUGAUUUUUAGAUGUUGAAAUAACAUUGUUUUAUUUAAGAAUAGUGAUGCACUAAUGUUCUUUGAAUAUAAAAAAGUUGAUAUUAUACAAAUAUACAUCAUUUAUAAUUAUAGAUGUGACUUUGAAAGAAAAAAAAAAAAAACAAUAAAAACUAAAUUUGUACAAAUUUGGUGUAAUUAUUGUCAAAGUAACAUUUCUCAUAGUGAUUUUUUAUUUUAUUUUUUACAACUUUUGUCACAGUGAUUCUGUUUGGUACAACAUUUCUCAUAGUGAUAAAAUAACUAAAUGAGUUAAGGAUUCAAAUUCUUCAACUUUGAUAAAGUAACAUUUACUGCUUGUUUAAUUUUUUUUAGUUAUGAAUCUAUGCACUCAAGAAGUUGAGCAAAAAUUUAAAGACAUCCCCUAAAACAGUUAACGCAUUUGGACCACAAAAAUCAUUAUAUUCUUCCUUAACAUGAAUGAAUUGUAGGCAACCUAUACCACAUAAUUUGCUCGUGAUUUUGCUUUUGAAAAAGCAGCAUUUCAUUGAAAACCUUGGAAGCAUUUGCAUAACCAAUAGAGAAAAUAUCAUCCCCUCAUCAUUUAUCCAUAAAUAAAUAUUUCAAUAAAAGACAUUUUUCAAAACAUAACAAAUUAAAUUUUUAGACAUCUAUAAACUUCCUUAAGAGAAUAUAUGUAACAAACAAGUACCUUGUGAUAAAGUAGUACCAUUCGUAGUGGCUGGUGGAGGAGGUGAUGAUGGCGGCGGUGGCGGCGAUGCUCUAGGCUCAUAAAAAAGGUAAGAAGUUUCAAAUCUCAUGUUACAACUAGGCCUAACAACUCUUCCACCAAUCUUAUUAUUACAACAACUAGGAAUUUGUUGAAGAUUCUCAACCAAACAUGAAUUACAAUCAGUUUCAGACAAAUCAGGUGUACAUUGAACCAAACCAUAUAUAACUUCAUACUGAGGACCAGGUUGACUACCUGCAGCAUAUUUAAUCAUAGAAUCACCUUUCACAGCUCUACUUGUUAAAUUAUUUAACAAAGUAGUAACAACUUCAUUAGACAAAUCAACAUCACUUGAAUUAUUUUCAUUUUUUGAAGAAAACAUAGGAACAUCUUCCAUUACUCCUAAUAUCAAUCGGUCCGAAUAACGUAACAUGCAUUUUUCAUCUUCUGACCAAAAAAUAGCCUCUUUUCGAUUUGGACAAUUACGUGUGAGAUUUGUUCUGGCGCUACUGAGGCAACUGCGGCAACUAUUUGGCAUAAUAUCCCCUCGGCAUAGUCCGAUCGCGUAGACUUUGUCGCUGUUUUCGCCAUGUGAAAAAUUGUAGAAACCGUAGUUGAUUUCUGUGUUGGAAGUGAGAGUUGAUAAAAGUGUGUUGAGGUUUUUGUCAUAGGUGCUAUUUGUUGUGUAGUUACCUCUAUUGUUGUCUUGAUCACAAACGUAGUGGUAUAAAUUGAUUUCAUCGUAUACAACAUCAGCUUUGGUUUGAGAAGUGAAAAUUAUGAUUAGGAGAGAGCAAAGUAAGGAAGGAAUAGCCAUAUUGAUUGUCCUAAUAUUGAAGUUUUUUUUUGUUCAAGAUUGGAAGAUUUGGAUAGGUUCUUUGUGGCGUUAGGUGUGUAUAAGUGAAGGAUUGAAGGCAAAUAACUAAAGUCACCUAUCUUGAAUUGAAUAUUAUUUCAUUCCAUAAAAAGCACAUUUGUUUUCUUAUAUAUGCAGAAAACAAAUUAUAUUUCCUUUUCUUAUUAUUUCCUUUUGGAGACACGGUGAUUCAUAGUUCUAUGCUAGAAGAAGUUUCUUUGGUUGAAUAACUAUUUUCUUGACUUUUCUGCAUUAGAUUAUUCAUUAGAAAGAUACAAGACACCUGAGACAAAAAUUGGUCCACAAUACACACACUGUAUCUGAAAGUUCCACGGCACUUUCAAACCGGCGAUUAAGUGUAGGAUUACCAAUCAAAACAUAGACAAUUCAAUUAUAAAAUCCUUAGUUAUUUACCAGUCAAAACAUAGACUAUUUAAUUAUAAAAUCCUUAGUUAGGUAUUUUGUCUUACUAGAAUACGAGUCAAUACCUCUCAAGUAAAAUAAUACGAGUCAAUAGUUUAAAUUAUUUUGUUUGACCAAGCACUCUCUCCUCAUACAUUAAUGGAUGGAUCAUACAACAAGAUCAUUUUGACCUCCAUCUCUUUUUUUACUUUAUGUUGGAACCGAGAAAUUUGGAUUUAGGCCAAUUUGGGCGAUGUAGUUAAAAUCAAGAAGAGCUUAUUUUUCCAAUCUACAUGGAGGGGGAUGAUCAAUUAUCUCUAAGAGAGGAAGACCCUACGUGUACCUUUCCGUGUGAUCAGUAGGUGCAACUCGACAUCUGAUAGGUAGUAAAAUCCCAUGAAUUCAUCACUUAGAUAGAUAACGAUAAAUAGCAUGAAUAAGAAUUGACUGUUAAGUAAACCCAACAACUAAAUAGAGGGGAUUCGAAGAAUCAUAACCGCCGCUAACAUUCUGCAAUUAAAACAGCUAAACUUUGCUAUGUUUCAAAUAGAUUAAAUUGCAAAACUCUAAACCCUUCAUCUUUAUUUAUUUUAUUGCUCCCAAAUAAGUAUCGUGAAUUGUUUGGUUGACAGCUGUCAAAAUGGGCCGGGCCUUAAUUACGGGCCGACCCGAAAGCCCGAAUAAAAUGCAGGGCCUGGGCCGAUAAAUAGAAGCCCAAAUUUUUUCAGAGCUUUUUAGCCCGGCCCGAAAAAGCCCGAAGCCCGUUUGGGCUAAGGGCAGCCCGAAAAAAAAAAAGCGUUAUUUUUUACACUGGGCAUACAUUGUAAUCAAGGAGCUUUGGACAUACGUAUCUAAUUCAAAUCCUGCCACAACUAUGUGUACAUGGAUUGGCAUUCCAUGCUUCAAAAGAUAAUCAAGAGACAUUAAGUGCCAAGAAGAUUGACAACAGUAAUGUAGUUCGAAAGCAAACCUUCUCUUCUCAUUAAGUUGAAUGCUUGAAUUGUGGCAUUUGGAUCUUUGUCAUCAGCAUGACCACCUAUCAGUGCAUUCCAUGUUAGCCCGUAAGCCCGGGAGUCCGUAAAGGGCCGGACUCGGGCUCUAUUUUUCCAGCCCAUAUUCAAACCGGACUUUUUAGCCUGGGCCGCCCGUUUUGACAGCUUAAGAAACCCCUCUCAAGCCAAGGAGUGGACAUCUACACAUGAUACGAGUGUUUACAAAUCUUGAAUAAAUUUUGAUACCAUGGAGUAAUGAAGACCAAUAUACUUCAGUAAUGUGAUAACAAUAUAAGAGCUACUAAAUUUAAAUAGAUAAUAUUCUUAAGCUAAUGACAUUAUUUAACCAACCUUAAGCCAAAACAAAACAAAAAAAAGCUAUUUACAAUAGUCUAGUAUUUACAACACUAAUGUUACGACAUUCUCAUGAUUAAAAUUACAACUAGCGAGGAAAAGGCUCUGUAUUUGAAGCUCCAUUGACCGAUUCCUUCGCUGAACUAUCACUUAAUGAUUUCAGAUCUUCAAAAGGCAUUGGAAGAGUAACAGAGUCGCUAUUAAGCAUCACUACAAUAGAAGCCAUGGUUGGUCUAUUUACUAUAUUCUCUUGAACACAAAGUAAUCCAAUAUGGAUACAUCUUAGUAUUUCAUUUCGUGAAUCAUUGUUUAAUGUCGAGUCUAUGAUAUUUGUUGCAGUCCCCUCUCUCCAAUUUCUCCAUGCCUACACAAAUUUAUCCAGAUGCAUAUAUCAUUCUAUGUUAGAUAUAAUUCCACUUCUAAACUAGUUUAAAUUAAAACAAAAAACUUAUAAAAUGAAAGAUAUGAUGCAAAAAAAAUUAUGACUUACAAAGCUUGAGAGAUAUUCUGUAUUCUCCCCAUCACGAAUGCUACUAUUUUUAGCACCACUUACAAUUUCAAGAACCAAUAUACCAAAACUGAAGACAUCUGAUUUUACCGAAAAUUGUCCGUGCAUUACAUACUCAGGUGCCAUAUAUCCGCUACAAAACAAUGAGGAUGGUUAAGCAAAAUGUUUUCAAUUAUCUUCAACUUUCUAUUUAUUUACAUAAACUAAGCCUCCUGAUUAAAAUAAAAAACAACCAAUACUUUUUUUGAAUGCUUACUAAGUUCCCACAAUUCUAUUUGUGUUUUCCUGGGUUUGGUCAACACCAAAAAGUCUUGCCAUGCCAAAAUCAGCUAUCUUAGGAUUCAUAUGUUCAUCCAAGAGAAUAUUACUUGCUUUGAGAUCUCUAUGAAUAACACGAAAUCGAGAAUCCUGGUGAAGGUAUAGAAUGCCUCGAGCAAUACCUAAAAUGAUUAGGUAGCGCUUUCCCCAAUUUAAUUGCGCUCUCUUUGCUUGAUCUGCAUUUGACAUACCCAGCUACUUUGAAUCUUAUAACAAUGUAAUAAAUAAGCUUAGUGAUCAACCAUAACUAUAGUAAUAAAUAUAACAAAACCUACCAAAAAUAAAGUAAUCAAGACUUUUAUUACAAACAAACUCAUAUACAAGAAGUCUUUCUCUUCCUUCUAGGCAAAAACCGAGUAAUCUAACUAGAUUUCUGUGUUGAAGUUUAGCAACUAAAAACACUUCAUUCUUAAACUCUGAAUCUCCUUGUCCAGAAUUCAUUGAUAACCUUUUGACAGCAACCUCUUGUCCAUUGAAGAGCCUACCCUGAAAAUAAAUAAUAUAUUUAAUAACGAUAAGUUUUUAUAACAAUCAUAAGAGUAUAUCAUAUUUUAAUUAAUAAAGCAGUGUUUAAUGGCGUUAUUUUACUUUGUAAACAGCCCCAAAUCCGCCUUUUCCAAGUUUAUCAGAAUCUGAGAAAUCAUUUGUAGCAAUACGUAUGGUGUUGAAGUCUAAUUGCAGUUGCUCGGUAGUAAUAUCAAUUAUGUCAUCUUCUUCUUCUUCUUGAACUUCUGCAACAAAAGGGUAAAAGAAGUUCGUCAUACGUGAUACAAGACCAUUAAAUUACCAUUUUAAUCAACAAAAUUUUGUUACAGGGAGUAUAAGUCUCUAAUCCUUACAAAAAAAAAUAAAAAAUGGCAUCACAAAUAAAUAAAUACGUAUCAAAAGUUAGAAGGUGGAACCUAUAUACACUACUCCAAAAAACACAUUUAACUCAUCUAUCGCUACAACCGAAUAAAAAGAGUGUUUUAAUUCGCAUCUUACAUUAGUUAUAUGUAGGGGCCGGGCUUCAAACCCUGAACACCCUACUUAAAAGGUAUGAACUCUAGCCAUUAGACUACUGGACCGAGAAAAAAAAAAUAUGAAACAAUACCUUUCAGAAAGCUAAUGCUAGAAAAACAUGAGCAAUAAGCUUGCAGCGGGGGUUGUGUGCGAGCAGUUUUGUUUAUGUUGUUGUGCGGAGGUUUGUCUUUAAUUGUUGUGUUAGCUUUGUUUUUGGUGUUUUCUUUUAUUGAUUUCGAAGAUAACCCUUUGUUAGGAUGUGUUUCUUAUAAGUUUUUUGGAUUUUGUCUUUGAUGCACGGAUGUAUGGGUUUUCCAUUGGGGGCUCCCCAUCUAUCCUUUAUAUGUUGCUACAUUAAGACUCAUAGCCUAACACUCCUUGUGCUAGUUAGAAUUCAUUGUGAUUUUAAUAAAUUCUAUUUUAACAAAAAUAAAAAGGCAAUAAGCUUGCUUUGAAUUACUGAAAGAGGAUUUAUUAACAUUAUCUAUGUGCAAUUGGAAAAGUUUCAAGUCUCACUCAGAUCCAAAAUCUUAAACUAAUGGCUUAAAUGCAAUUUUACCCCCCUAUUUUGAUUGAAUCUGAAUUUUAUCCUCCCUAUUUUAAAACUCGGAAUUUUACCCCCUCUAUUUUGAUUGAAUCGGGAUUUUGCCCCCGUUAUUUUAAAACUCGGAAUUUUACCCCCUAUUUUAAAAUAAAGAACCAAAAAAUACUAGAAAAAUAAAGAAAAGAUUAAAAAAUAUUAAUUUGGUAAAAAAAUAUAAGGAAAACAAGAAAACAAAAACAAAAAAAUAGAAAAACAAUGAAAUUACAAGAAAAAAUUCAAUUAAGAAUACAUGAAAAAACUAGUUUGCACCUCUAAAUAUUUGCUAUUUUCAUGUAUUCCAUACUAGUUUUUUAUUUUAUUUUUAGAGAUCAUACUAGUUUUAUGCAUUUUUCUAGUAUUUUUUAUUAAUUUUUUUUAGUAUUUUUUUGGUUUUAUUUUUAUUUUUUCAUUAAAAAACAUUUAAUACAAAUAAUUAAUUAUGUGGAUAAAAUAGGGGGAGGGGAAAAAUCCUGAAAAACAUAAAAUAGGGGGGGUAAAGUUCCGAGUUUUAAAAUAGGGGAGGCAAAAUCCAGAAUCAAUAAAAAUAGAGGGGGUAAAAUUCCGAGUUUUAAAAUAGGGGGGCAAAAUUCAAAAUCAAUCAAAAUAGGGGGGGUAAAACUGCACUUAAGCCUAAACUAAUAGAAGGAUUAUAAAGAUAUAUUAUCUACUUUUUUUCUCAUAAAAUUGCAUUAUAAUAGUGAAGCUAUAUCAAUGUUUCAAAUGAAUUAAUUAAUUACCUUCACACGUUUUCUUUGGCUUUCUUAGUCUUAAAUAGAUGCAGAUAAAAAUGAAGACCAUAACAACAAUAGCAAUUGGUACCCCUAGAGCGAUACCUAUGGUAGUACUGUUGUUGCUUUUUCCUGCACAAGCAAAGAAACUUUCCUUUAACAAAAACAAUUAACAACUAACAAAAUUUAUUUCCUCAAAAAACCUAACAAAAUUAAUUGUUUUUUUCAUUUUUUUUUAAUAUUCGUUGUUCAAAAUAAAUAACUAUACUCACUAAGAGAAAAUUUAAUGUAUCAAGGAUAGUCAAGCACGGAAAUUGAUCAUGUGACAUGAGGAAACAUUAAAAUAUCAUCCAUUAAAAAAAUGAGAGAAAGAUGAUUUAGGCAGAGAAAAGAGUUUUAAGAGUUUUUGUAAAACACGGAGAAAGACCACCAUAAUUUUUUUUUUGGGAGACCACCAUAAACUUGAUUUUGAAAUCUUUUUAACAAAUAUAAUGCUUUUUUUUUUUACAAACAAAUAUAAUGUUUGUUUGUUUAAGAUUAUCAAAAAAUUAUUUUUUAUGUUUUAGUUAUGUUUGUGUGUAACUUUUUAAAAAAUUAUUAUGUUUCAAAUAAAUAAUUGUGUUGAUAAUGAAAAGGUAUUUCCAUUAGCUUUUAGAAGAAAACCAUUAUAAACAUAACAUAGACUUUUAUUGUAUAUAAUUUUUUUUAUCAAGUACAAGUAGUCUAUCGGUUAAAAAUUCACGAUGAAUUUUUGUAUAAAUGGGGUGUCGAGGUUCGAACUCCGACCAUUGUAUAUGACAAUGCAUUGUUCAUACCAUUUGAGUUAAGCUCACGAGAAAUUUUUGUAUAUAAUUUUAAACAAACACAAAAUCACAUAUUUUUCUUAAAAAUCUUUAAACAAAAUACUCUAACUAAUUUACAUCAAAAUUAUUUUAAAACUUAAAGAAACGGUCAAUGCUGUAAGUAAAACUUUCUAUGAUCUUUUCAUAAGUUUAAUAUGGUAAAUACCUGGAGAGGAAGUAGUGUUUUCUGCAAAUGGAGGAGGAGCUGAGAAUGAUGGCACUGAUGCUGGUGAAGGUGUUGGUGAUGGUGAUGAUGACGAUGAUGAAGGUGAAUCUUGAGUUUGUUGAUAGAAAAGUGAAUUGGUUUCAUAUCUCAAAUAACAACUGGGUCUAAGAAAUCUACCACCUAUACCUAUUCUAUUGUCACAACAAUUUGGGAUUUCUUUGAUAGAUUUAUCCAAACAUUCAUCACACAAUGUUUCAGACAAAUCAGGUGUGCAUUGAACAAGAGCAAAUAUGGUUUGAUUAUUAUUUGGACCAAUCACAUCACUUCCUACAGCAUAUUUAAGGUCACUUUCCCCCGAUGCAGCUAAAUUUUUUAAAUUAUACAACAAAUUUUUCAGCCCUUUAUCAAAUUCAUCUUCGACUUCCUUUGUUGCGUUCUGCAAAUUCCAUGCAAUCAUGGCAGGUCCCAUUUCAUUGAUACCAAAUAUUAAACGGUGUGAGGAACGCAACAUGCAUUUUUCAUCGUCGUACCAUCCAAUUGCUUCUUUUCGAUUUUGACAAAGUUGUGUUAGAAGGGCAGUUGAAUUUUGGAGGCAAUUUUGACAAUCAUCGGGUUUGACAUCUCCUCUACACAGUCCAAUAGCGUUUACUUUGUCGGUGUUUACGCCAUAAGAGGAAUUAUAGAAACCGUAGUUAAUAUCUUUGUUGGAAGUGAGAGUGGAUAGAAGGGUUUUGAGGUUUGUGUGGUAGGUGCUGUUGGUUGUGUAGUUACCAUCAUCGUUACCUUGAUCACAAAUGUAUCGGAAUUUUCCUGUAGCGUCAGUGGUAGCUGUGCUGAUUUGAGAUGUGAAAAUGAAUGUGAGAAGGAGAGAACAAAGAAAUGAAGACAUUGUAUAACAAAUAACACACAACAAUUAUGGAUGUUUCAAGCUUUAAAAUGUGGAAUGAGGUUGUUUUUUUUUUUUUUUUUUUAUUAAAGUAGAAUGAGCUUUCAUUGAGAAAGAAUUUGGCCGGCUAUAGAUUCGGAUGUUGCUUUUAAAACAGUAUUUGAAACAAAACUUAACUAAUGGGAUUUUUUAUUUUUAUUUUUAAAAAAAAUCUUGUAAUAUUUGGAAGGUUUUUAGUAAGUACAAAACAAAAAUUCAAGUGAACCCUGAUUGCAAGGAUAAUGUAUAAUAUAUACAAGGUUCGAGAUUCAAAUCUCGAUCACCACAAAAACAAUUAAUUAAAGUUACACUAAUUGUCAUUUUACGACGAGGAUUUAAACUUAGUUCUUUGAGAAUAAAAUAGUAUUUUUUUUAUUGUUGUCAUUUACCAAUUAAUCAUCAUUCCUAAGAUUAGAAAGAAAAAUUAAAGUUUUGUGAUAAUAAAUCAAUUGAUAGGGAUAAUAUUAUAUGAAAUAUAUAUGCAUGUCGGGUUUGAAUAUUAAAUUCUUCAAGCAUUAACAUUCUUUUAAGAAAAUGCUUAUAACAUUUCAUUAAUAAUAACAGGUUCAAUACAUUUGGGUAUAUUAAAAUAAACAAAGAGACUAGCUAGUAACGUGACUUCUUCUGCAAGUGUGCAUGAGCAACCAUGUUGGUUUGUCUUCUAACAAAAUUCAUCCUAGAGUUAGUAAAAAAAGAGUUGAAUAAGGAACGACAUGAAGUAAUAAUACACCCAAAUUCAGAAGUGUCGUCCCGAGUAGCACAGAAAGCAUCACACGUCAAUUUGGAAUCCGUUUCAAAACAUUAUCAAAUUACAUAUCGCUUGACGACCGCAAAGCAUAGUGUAAUCGCAAAGCUUCAUCAACAUCAACUAAAUAAAGACAUUGGUAACUAGCAACAUUGGGCAAAAUAAAAGUACCUUCAGAGUCCCGAACAUAAAUACCAAUGCCGAUGCAGUUGAAAUGAGAAAGAAAUGCAGCAUCAAAUUACACUUAUAGCUACCCGCAUCAUUUGACCAAAAAAAAAUACACCCUCCAUCACUAUUAUAAGCAAAAAUUUACAUCUUAGAUUCAUUCAUUUAAUGAUGCACAUGAUCUUUAUUAUAGACCACAUACAUUAUUAAAUAAAUGAACCUAAAAUAUAAAUUUUUGCUUAUAUUAGUAACCGGAGGAUGUAGAAGCAACUUAGCAUAGUUGACCCAUUCACUAAGACCGAAAUAAGCAGGUACAAACAUUUUGGAAAUAGUUAAAUGAGCAGGUACAAACAUUUUGACCCAUUCAAAAAGCAAGUCUUGGUCAACUAUUCGUGUUAAUUUUAGUACUAAUAGUUAAUCUUUGGCAAUUUGAUCCCUUAAAUAAUUUUUAGGUUUCAUUUUGGUCUCCUAAUUAUUAAAAGUUACGUUUUGGUCCCUCAAAUAUGCUUAUGUCAGCUAAUUUGGUUCCUCUCCAGUAAUUUUAACUCAAAAUGUCUAAGGUGGACCAACAUUAUAGUGAUCCACGGUAGACCUUCUUAAUUUAUUUAAUUUUACAUUUUAAAACAAAAUAAACUAUUGGAUCAUUAAAAACCAUUGAAUCUAAUAAUGAACCACGAACACAUGAUUUUUCUUUCUUUUUCUUCAUAUUCUUCCUUUUCUUUUGUUAUAAGAAUAGUUAAUCAAUAUAGUUAAAUAAUUUUUUUAUCUUUACUAGUAAAAAUGGCUUUAAUUUUUAAGAGUGAAUAGGUUAAUUUGUCCUCGAAUUUUCCAUCAUCAUUCAAUUUCGUCUUUAAAUUUUUUGAAAUAGCUAAAUCGUACGUCUUCAAUUUGCUUCAUGCCUAUCAAUUAAGUUUUUCUAUCAUGUUCACACGUUUCGACGUGCUGACGUGCACUGUUAAAUAUUGAUGCGGCCGUCCACACCACCUUCUACAUAUGUGGGCACCAAUUUGAUAGUCAAAUUUGACAUCAUCCUAAAUUCAUAAAAUUCUUCCAAAAAUUCAUAACUUCAUUAAAAAUUAUAGAAAUUCAUCAAAAUUUCAUCUUACUCGUUUUUUUUUUUCUCGCAUCAAUCAACCUAACUAACCACUCCAAAAUGAGAUUUCCCAAAAUGAGAGAGAAAAUCAUAUUUGAAAAAGUUGUAUUCAUCUCUUCUUCUUGAUGUUCUUGUUGAAAAACUUUGAAUUUCUUCUCCUUCCUUGGCUUGUUGUAUUGGUUUAGAUCUUAUGACAAUACAACAUUUUCAGGGAAUUGUUACAGCAAAACACUAUCAACAGAAACUGUAUCUUGAUCUUCAAAGCCUGGUCUGAACACAAAAUCAUAAGACUCACACAUCAACCUCACUGUUUCAAUUCAACAAAGAAUCAUCACCUUCAAAUCCAUCUAAAGUGCUCAUAAUAAGAGCCUUAUCCUCCUUUUUAAGAACCCUCGUUACCCAAAUCAUGAACAAUGGAAUUCAAAACCUUAACAUUGAUAGACAUAGAAGUAGAACCAGUAACAACAACAACAACAGUAGCAUCAAAGGGGUUAAAAAAAGCAACCAGUUCUAACGGACAACAUACAAAAAGAAAAUAAAAACCACUAUUUAAUUACAAUCUGGUCUGGUAUUUACAACACUAUGAAAUAUAUAUGUAUUAUGGGUAUCACGGUCAUUCCAAUGGUUAAAAUUCCAGCUAGCAAGGAAAUAGCUCUGUGUUUGAGGCCCCGUUGACCGAUAAUUCUUGAGCUGAGCUUGGCGGGUUCGUAUCUUGAAAGUCACUCCAAUCCAUAUGAAAUGCAGGUUCCAAAGGCAUUGGGAGAGUAACAGAAUCACUAUUAAGCAUCACUACAACAGAAGCCAUGCUUGGCCUGCUAGCUACAUUCUCUUGAACACAAAGUAAUCCAAUAUGAAUACAUCUAAAAAUUUCAUUUCGUGAAUCAUUG